rnacentral:tRNA from 1 species
GGUAGAAUGGCUGAGAUUUAGGUGAUAGACUGUAAAUUUAUUUAGGAGGAAUAACCUCUUCUACCA